rfam:Pteropus alecto contig80427, whole genome shotgun sequence.
GACUACGGCCAUGCCAUCCUGAACAAGCUCGAUCCCGCCUGAUCUAGGAAGCUAAGCAGGGUCGGGCCUGGUUAGUACUUGGAUGGGAGACCACCUAGGAAGACCAGGUGCUGUAGGCA